rnacentral:lncRNA from 1 species
UCCCAAGUGUCUGCCUGUUCAGACUCAUCCUUCAUGUCUGUAGUUAGUUCUUAACCAUCCUGAUCAGAAGCUUCUAAAGAUAACACGGUAGCAUCCACUUACUUGGUCAAAUUUGACAGCUUGAAAUAUGAAACUCACUUGAAGAGGGAGGAGGAAAUUACUGGAGUCUGUAGAUUUCCUCCUGCGUCCAGACCCUGACCCAAGCAGUUUCAGAUUCAUUCUUUCCAUUUAAUUAUCCAGACACAGCCCUGUGAGGUAGAAGAUAGGAAACAAGGCUACACCAUUAAGAAUCAGGAAAUAAAGUUUAAAAACAAACAAAUGGGGGAGAAAAAAACAUACUUUUGACCAAAGUGGAAAGGUAAGGUCUUGGCACUAAAGGCUAUUAUUCAUCCAAUGCUCAAGAGAACAGUCAUCAUUCAGAACGUUCUGCUCUUUAUAUCCACUUACAGUAAGCCUGGGAGUUUGUGUCCAAACAAUUGUUAGGGAUUAAGGGGUGCUCUGAAGACACACAGGCAGUGGCAGCAGUGAGGGACAACUAUGACAGGAAGGGAAGAGGCAGAGAGAGACUGUAAAAUGGCCAUAGGAGAAUUCAGAGUUCCAGCUUCUAGGGCUGUUCAGUCCAGGAAACCCGCCCUGAAUUCAUAAUAGUCUCCAGGAACAGGAUAAUGGUUGAUUCUUAUGAUUCUGGGUUAUCAAGAAGAAAUUUUUUAAAACUAUUCAAUUAAUUUGAGAAAUUUGUAAGACAUAAAAUUCUGAACGCAAAAUCUUUGUUGAAUGCAACUGAAAAAGUAAAAUGCCGUCCUAUCCAGAUACCAUUUCUGGUGGCCAGAUUGAUUAUUGUCUUGUUGAGUGAUUCUAAUGGGUUUUUUGGGUUUUUUGUUUUGAUGUGUGUAUGAUGAGCAUUAAGUGUGGUAAAUAGUAGUUAUCGCUCAUUGAUUGAUUUUGGAAGAUAGUCUAUGCAGUUGGAACUUACCAUCUCAUAACUGUGGCCUGAUUACCAAGAUUGUCCCAUCGUGGAUGUGUUAAGGUUAUUCACAACUUGACUAGCGUAUUCUGAUCCACUUCCCCUGCUGCCAGUUGUUACGUAUUUAGAGAAUGCUGUUAGUAGGCUAAGUGAAACAUAGUUUAAACUUUCACAUAAAAAUGUAUAUCGUUAACCCACUGAGUGAGGCCAGGGAUCGAACCCGCAACCUAACGGUUCCUAGUCGGAUUCGUUUCUGCCCUGCCAUGACGGAACUCCUGAAAUUAUCUUUGAUGAAGGACUGUUUUUAAAAAUUCUCUAUGCAUAGCAGACUGAUACUUUUAUAAAGUACAAUAAAAAUAAAUUAGUAGAAAAAUGAAAUUUUAGUAGAAAACAAGCUCAUUUUAAAAAUUAAAGUGAACAGACAUAAAAAUACUGUCAGGUUCCUCUGUAAGUUUCUGAAUGUGUGGUCUCAAAUUUAUUCUUUCCUGUUCAUGAGCUGCUUGUGCUUUGAGUACCUCUCCUGUGGAGGAGUAAC